AGUGCUGUCUGUGCUAUGGGCAGUGCGGAAACCAGACUGGAAUGUUUCAAAUAGUGAGUGUUGUUGAAGGUGUUCCUGCAGCUGUAUGGCAACAGCUUUUUCAAGGACUUUGGACAGGAAUGGAAGAAGAGAGAUGGGCCGGUAGUUGGAGAGACAUUCUGGGUCGAGGCUGGGUUUUUUCAGGAGAGGCUUGAUAACGGCGGUUUUGAGUGAUGGUGGGACAUGGCCUGAGUUUAGUGAGUGGAAAUGUCCAUGGAAAUAACACUGUGGUUGGAGACACCCAGGUCAUAUACUGCCAGCUUAUUGAUGGAGGGAGAGUCUGAGAUGACCAGGAUGGAUUAUCAAUAUGAAUGUUCAUAUCACCCAGUAUUAUAUUAUUGGAAGAUAGAGAGCAGAGGGAGGUGAGAAGGUCAUGAAACUCAGGGAUGAACAAUGGGUGUGGUUUGGGCGGCCGGUAAAUAAGAACAGCAUUGAACUUGGACGGAGGUUUUGAUUUGAAGGCCAGAU